rnacentral:rRNA from 1 species
GACGAACGCUGGCGGCGUGCCUAAUACAUGCAAGUCGAGCGCAGGAAGCCGUCUGAACCCUUCGGGGGGACGACGGUGGAAUGAGCGGCGGACGGGUGAGUAACACGUAAAGAACCUGCCCAUAGGUCUGGGAUAACCUCGAGAAAUCGGGGCUAAUACCGGAUGUGUCAUCGGACCGCAUGGUCCGCUGAUGAAAGGCGCUCCGGCGUCGCCCAUGGAUGGCUUUGCGGUGCAUUAGCUAGUUGGUGGGGUAACGGCCCACCAAGGCGACGAUGCAUAGCCGACCUGGGAGGGUGAUCGGCCACACUGGGACUGAGACACGGCCCAGACUCCUACGGGAGGCAGCAGUAGGGAAUCUUCCACAAUGGACGAAAGUCUGAUGGAGCAACGCCGCGUGAACGAUGAAGGCUUUCGGGUCGUAAAGCUCUGUUGUAAGGGAAGAACAAGUGCCGCAGGCAAUGGCGGCACCUUGACGGUACCUUGCGAGAAAGCCACGGCUAACUACGUGCCAGCAGCCGCCGUAAGAC